rnacentral:rRNA from 1 species
GAUGAACGCUGGCGGCGUGCCUAAUACAUGCAAGUCGAGCGAAUGGAUUGAGAGCUUGCUCUUAUGAAGUUAGCGGCGGACGGGUGAGUAACACGUGGGUAACCUGCCCAUAAGACUGGGAUAACUCCGGGAAACCGGGGCUAAUACCGGAUAACAUUUUGAACCGCAUGGUUCGAAAUUGAAAGGCGGCUUCGGCUGUCACUUAUGGAUGGACCCGCGCAGCAUUAGAUAGUUGGUGAGGUAACGGCUCACCAAGGCAACGAUGAGUAGCCGACCGGAGAGGGUGAUCGGCCACACUGGGACUGAGACACGGCCCAGACUCCUACGGGAGGCAGCAGUAGGGAAUCUUCCGCAAUGGACGAAAGUCUGACGGAGCAACGCCGCGUGAGUGAUGAAGGCUUUCGGGUCGUAAAACUCUGUUGUUAGGGAAGAACAAGUGCCAGUUGAAUAAGCUGGCACCUUGACGGUACCUAACCAGAAAGCCACGGCUAACUACGUGCCAGCAGCCGCCGUAA